rnacentral:rRNA from 1 species
AUUCCAGCUCCAAUAGCGUAUAUUAAAGUUGUUGCAGUUAAAAAGCUCGUAGUUGGAUUUCUGGCAGGAGCGACCGGUCACACACUCUGUGUGUGAACUUGUGUUGUCUCUGGCCAUCCUUGGGAAGAUCCUGUUUGGCAUUAAGUUGUCGGGCAGGGGAUACCCAUCGUUUACUGUGAAAAAAUUAGAGUGUUUAAAGCAGGCUUAUGCCGUUGAAUAUAUUAGCAUGGAAUAAUAAGAUAGGACUUCGGAACUAUUUUGUUGGUUUGCGUUACGAAGUAAUGAUUAAUAGGGACAGUUGGGGGUAUUCGUAUUUCGUUGUCAGAGGUGAAAUUCUUGGAUUUCCGAAAGACGAACUACUGCGAAAGCAUUUACCAAGGAUGUUUUCAUCG